CAGAACACAGCACUAUUUAUAACAUUUAUUUAAGGAAAAAAUUGAGAAGGGCUUGCCAGGGUGUUACGUGGAGACCGCGGGGCUGCAAGAGGAAGUCAAGUGUCUAUGACAGUUUAACCCUGCACAUGCAGGAGGACAGAUUGUCUAUGGAACUAUGGAGAACAGACCCGUGACAUUCUGUGGCUUCCCAUGAGACAACUUGGUGAGAAAGUCACAAACUUGGAUGCAUUACCAAUAACUUAGAGGCUAAGGUAGUUGACCCUGGCUCUGGAGAGCUCAAGCCUCUCCAGGGACUACUGUAUGAUGCUGGAGUACUGGGAAGGCCGUUGCCAAGACAGACGAGUGCAUCACCAAAGAAUCAAGGCCAUUGUGUUGAGCUCAAUUGUACCAACAUUUUUGCAGAACCCGUUGGACCAAUGUUAUGUUUUAGCAGGCACAGGUUAACAGGAAAGGGAGGCCAUGUACAGCAAAGUGCCUUACACAGCACCGUCAGCUAAACACUGACAGCCAAAUGAUUUUGCACUAUUUUUAGGACCAACCCUGAUUAUCUUGUGACAGCCUUGAAAAUCACCUCAUCAAUCUGUGACUGUGACAAGCUGCUUUUUACACCAAAUAAAGGUUUUACACUUUUUUAGCCAUGUUACCAAAUCUCUAGGGACCAAGAGUUGAGAGUUGAAGGACCUCUACCUGCCUUUUUACAGUGCAUUCGGAAAGUAUUCAGACCCUUUCACUUUCUCCUAAUGCUAAUCUUAUUCUAAAAUGUAUUAAAUCGUUUUUUUCUACACACAAUACCCCAUAAUGACAAAGCAAA